UACGGGGGGGGCAAGCGUUGUUCGGAAUUAUUGGGCGUAAAGGGUUCGUAGGUGGCCGGCUAAGUCAGACGUGAAAUCCCUCAGCUUAACUGGGGAACUGCGUCUGAAACUGAUCGGCUUGAGUGCAGGAGAGGAACGCGGAAUUCCAGGUGUAGCGGUGAAAUGCGUAGAUAUCUGGAGGAACACCGGUGGCGAAGGCGGCGUUCUGGACUGCUACUGACACUGAGGAACGAAAGCCAGGGGAGCAAACGGG
rnacentral:rRNA from 1 species